CCUGGCCCAAAAAUAAAUCAUCAUCGCCUCCUUCCCCGAAAAAAAAUCUAGCUUAACGAUGGAGACAUACAGUCAUACAGAUAGAGGAAAAUCUUAACGAAGAAGUUACCAACCUCGGCGCCGACGUCUGAAGUAUUGCUGGAUUGGUUGAAACGGUAAAGAUGAAGAAAUCGAUUAAGGAGUGGAGGUGGUGGAGGUAGAUGAAGAAGUCGAUUAUAGAAUUAAGAUUUAGGGAUUUUGGCAAUUUAAGGGAGAAUGAGGGAAAAUAAUUAGGAUUUGAGAACUUAAGGGGUUCUCUAUAAUUUGCAACAACUAUGACUGCCUCAUACGUUAACACUAAUCACGGACGGUGACUGAAAGUUCAAAAUACCAUAUAAAUGUUGAUGUAAAUGACUUGUUAAUUGUUGUAUGAGAUAGAGAUGGUACCUAAAAUAACCCAUCAACGGAUGUAGUAGGGCCGAUCCCUGAAUUGGGUAUGACGAGAUACCAGAGAAGAGAUCGAGGAGUUUGGUCGGGAUUCGUCCAUUAGGGGUGGACGGAUGGUGGUGUCUACUCUACGUUUGUCCCACGUCUGAUUAGUCGACUUAGUUGAUUGCUAACGAAUCCGAACCUUGUCUUUUUUCAGGGAAGAGGGGAAGGAAGAUGUCUUCAAUGGACUAUGAUUGUGUAAGAGUGUUGGAUCUUCGGGUGGACACGAGCACAUGACGGACGAAAACAUGUCUCAAUCUCUUUGAAAGGUUUAUGAAACCGAGAUGAGAGGGAAGAGGUGUGAAAAUCCGAGGUUAGACGACAAGUUUUAAGAAGUAUGUGAGUUGAUUUUAUUUGUAUUAUAAAUUGUAUCAGGUCGUUUUUUUCUAUUUAAAUAUAUAUUUAUUUAUGUACCAUAUAAAAUUUUAAAAAAGAACACAAACAAAAAUCAACAAACACCAUGAGUGUUUCCAACUCUUUAUUCUUGGAUCUACGUUUAAAUUUUCAGAUUGAAAAAAUUUAAAAAAUCUAAACAUUAUUUCAUUAAGAUAUUAUCAAUUUUGUCGUUAUUUUUAAAUUUAAUGAUUUUUUAUAUAUGAAAACAUUUGAAUUUUGGUAUAUAUAGAAACCACCAAAGAAGUAAACGCCAUAUGAUUUAUUUAGAGACAUGGUUACUACUUCUUCAUCUUCAUCGUCAUCUUUGAUGUCUGAAGCCAAAAGAUGGGAACAGCUUAGCGGCAAGAACCACUGGAAGGGUCUCCUAGACCCUCUCGACAUCGACCUCCGACGUAGUAUUCUCCAUUACGGCGACAUGGCCGAGGCGACGUAUGAUGCGUUCAACUCCGAGAAGGCUUCGAGAAACAACGGGUGUUGUUUUUACACCAGAGACGAUUUCUUUCAAAAACAAGGUAUGUCAACGUCGAAGAAUCCUUUUCCUUACACGGUGACCACGUACUUCUACGCGACGUCGGGUUUGCCGGAAUUCUUCUACGUCAAGUCCAAUUGGAUGGGGUACGUGGCAGUGGCGACGGAUGAGGGGAAGAAGGUUCUCGGUAGGCGAGACAUUGUCGUCGCUUGGAGGGGAACGGUGCAGCGGUCGGAGUGGUUUAACGACGUUGACGUCAGAAAGACAAGUGCUGGUGAAAUAUUCACCGGAGACGAUGCGCCUUAUGUCUGCCGUGGUUGGCUCGAUAUCUACACCACCGUGGAUCCAGAUUCGAAGCAUAACAAGAACAGUGCGAGAGAACAGAUUUUGAGUGAAAUAAAAAGAUUAGUAGAAAAGUACAAAAAUGAACAAGUAAGCAUCACCUUCACCGGUCACAGCUUAGGCGCCGCAGUGGCUACUUUGAAUGCCAUCGACGUCGUUCAAAACGGACACAACAAGAAUUUCCCGGUGACUGCAAUUCUCUUCGCCUGUCCCCGAGUAGGUGACUCCAAAUUCCUUCAGUUAUUCAACAACCUCGAGAAACUACGUGUUCUUCGCAUCGAAAACAAGGGCGAUGUCGUCCCAGAUCUCCCGACCAAUUACUCAGAAGUCGGAGAACGCAUCGGAAUCAACAGCGAGAACUCACCUUACCUGAAGCCUGGAACAAUAGUGGGUCAACAUAAUCUGGAAGUGUAUCUCCAUGGCGUGACCGGAUUUCAGGGAACUAAAAGAGAGUUCAAAUUGGAGCUGAAUAGAGAUAUCGCACUGGUGAACAAGAGCUUGGAUUACCUGAAAGCAGAGUAUCAUGUGCCGGAAUCGUGGUGGGUGAUGAAGAACAAAGGUAUGGUGAAAGGUGACGAUGGACAUUGGAAACUAAUAGAUCAUGACUUAUGAACACUGUUUAAUUACAAGAUUGCCAUGCCAUAAAAAUAAAUUAUACAUAUAAAUUUGUAUUUUUUACUUUAAACUAAACAUCCAAAAUACUUUCUACAGACUAUCAAACAGUAAAAAAGGGUUUAAAAUACAGUGAAAAACAAAAGAUUGAUAAGAUAAACUCAGUUCCACACAUUCACCGGCUACAUCUCCUUCUUCACUUUCACUUCCCCAUUGGGUACUAUAUUUUGCAACUGGGCAGUACGUUUAGAUUCCUGUAGACAAAAUUAUGGAAAUUUAAUACCAAUUCUUUUUUUUUUUUUGUAUGGAAAAGUGAUUGUAAUUUACAGACUACAAAGUUAUGACUACAAACUCAACAAUGGUUGUAAAUAAAAUGUGCUUCUAAAUAUUUCUAAAAAAAAUGACUUGGCAGUUGGCAAAAGCAGCCAUUAGUAGAAACAGUAAACAUCUUUUAUGAAAAAGGGCAUCAAAACAUAUCUCAUCUUUCAUCUUUGGUAAAACUUAAGUUUCAUGAAUAUUGAUCAGUUAAGUUUCAUGAAUAUUGAUCAGUUAAGUUUCUUGAAUAUUGAUCAGUUAAGUUUCAUGAAUAUUGACCAAUUAAGUUUCUUGAAUAUUGAUCAGUUAAGUUUCAUGAAUAUUGACCAAUUAAGUUUCAUGAAUAUUGAUUAGUUAAGAUUCAUACAUAUUGACCAGUUAAGAUUCAUGUAAAUUCAAUUAAGAUUCGGGCAUUUUGAUCUAAAAUUCACGCACAAUGCCAACUGAUUGUCAUUAUUUGCAGUCUGGAACCUAACACUUAAAAAAAAUACUUACAGCUGCAGUUUUCGCACGUAUUUCCCUAUAGACCUCAACAUCAUCAGGGAAUGCCUCUUCUAGGUUCGCUAAGAGAUGGUUCCGUAAACUCUGUAGUGAUCAAAUAAAAAUAAAAAAAUAUUGCAAAUUAUCCAAAGCAAAAACAGCAAACAAUAAAUAGAAAUAACAAACUUUGAAAGCUUCAGUUUUGCCCUUAAGCGUCUGAUUUUUUGAAAUACAGCUAUUAAAGACAUCUUUAGUGAACUCAUCCGGAUUUUUCCCAUCAUCGAUUAAGCUGAAUGCAAUGAUAACAAAUGAAUCAAAGAAAACAGUUAAAAUAAAUAAAGAAAGAAAAAGUAGAAUAUUCUUCUCUUAUACAGUUCUACUCACUUGACAACUUCCAUGGGAACCUGAAUGUUGCAGCUGUCGCCCAAUUUCUGCAUCGUGUCCAAUUCUGUGACCAACGCAUUUAGGCGCUGGAGGAGUGGGAGUUGGGAUGCGACAUUGAAGGAAGAUACAGUAAGGUGAAGCUGGUGGAGGAGGCUUAGGGUUUUAUGAAUUGAAUUGUUCACUAGCAUCAGAGACUGCUUAUUAGGAUUGCCUUCCAGCUGAUUAUCAUUAUUGUUGUUCGUACCAUUCGUGGUUCCAUGUCCAGUGAUGGGAGAAAUAUUGUUCGCCUCCAUCUGUGCCA
rnacentral:lncRNA from 1 species